AGCAUUGAGAUGAGGUGGCCCAACCAAGACUGACCGGCACUCCGGCUUACAUGGGGCACACCGGGCCCAGGUGAGUCCCGUGCUGCUGAUUACCCUGCCAAUCAGGUCUGCAGCCCUGGAGACACAAAUCAGAAGUGCGUAUAUCCCAUGAGACCAGGUUGUCGAAAGCGGCACGUUUCCUCUCUGCAGAAAAGACGAGAGAAGGCAGGCAGCUCCCAGGUAUAGCGCAAUAAUCAAGAUGGCGACCGGAUUUUGGACUUAAAAUGGCGAAAAUGAUAAAAAUCAGUCAGCAGAUUCCACCAUAGCCCGGCUGCCCCCGAAACCAGGGGGUGUCUGUUUUCAACAGUCAAGAAUGGUGCUGGUUCUGACUCUGGAAGACAGCUUGGAUUGAACAAAGAAUUAGACGAAACAGCAGCUGUGAAUCUUAGCCUGCCCGUCGUUGCAGUGCAAUAUUAUAAUAUAUUAAUAUAUUGAUUAAGGUAUUGACUCCCUGGUUCAUGUUUAAAUUACUGUAAAGAUUACACAUUACAGGUACAGUGGUAGUAGAUGUGGUAUGAUAGGUACACUAUGUACACUGGUAUGGGGAUUAUCUGGGGGUAUAAUCUGGCUACAAUGGGCACACUUAACAGGGUAUAAUGGGUAAAAUAGUUGCACAGGAUUAAGUGGGUGCACUGGGUUAACUGGUGUAAUAAGUAUAAGGGUGCAGGUAUAAUGAAGAUAAGAAAUUCACUGUAAAAUGUUGGUAGCACGAUUAGAAAGAUCUUAUUUUUGCUAUCAAAUGAUACAUUUCAGGCUGCUGAUAGUCUGCAUAUUUAUAAAAGGGAAAGGUCUUUCUGUGUGUGUGUGUGUGCUGGAAGCGUCUGGAUAUCCGGCAUCGGGCCAGCGCUGGGUGCAAUGCUGGAUUAUUCACACAUUCGACCUCCAACCUAGAACAACAACAAACAGCUCAGCGCUCGCUGCUCGCUCCGCCCGGCGCUCGCCAGAUUGGACGAUUACGGGUCGUGACACCGACGGUUUGGCAGUAACGUUCAUCUCACAUCAUCUCCGAGUACAGAGAUGACAGAAAACCAAGGGAGCUGCAACUUAAGGUCCUCAGCUGGAUUCAAACUGAGGAUGUUGCGGUUCAUUGUUGGCGUCUGAAACCCUGAGCCGCAGGAGGUAACCAGAGGCAUUUAUGUUCCCCGUUCUCCAAUACUAUGUCAUAAAAGCUAAUGACAUUCCCAUCAACCUCAGCUGCAUUAUGUUGCUACUGUAUGUG